GAUCUCAGAUCAGGUGAGGUUACCCGCUG
rnacentral:rRNA from 1 species